CCUACGGGUGGCUGCAGUGAGGAAUAUUGGUCAAUGGGCUAAGGCCUGAACCAGCCAAGUCGCGUGAGGGAAGACGGUCCUAUGGAUUGUAAACCUCUUUUGUCGGGGAGCAACGAGGCCACGUGUGGCCGAAGUGAGAGUACCCGAAGAAAAAGCAUCGGCUAACUCCGUGCCAGCAGCCGCGGUAAUACGGAGGAUGCGAGCGUUAUCCGGAUUUAUUGGGUUUAAAGGGUGCGUAGGCGGCAUGCCAAGUCAGCGGUAAAAUCGCGGGGCUCAACCCCGCUCCGCCGUUGAAACUGGCGUUCUUGAGUGGGCGAGAAGUAUGCGGAAUGCGUGGUGUAGCGGUGACAUGCAUAGAUAUCACGCAGAACUCCGAUUGCGAAGGCAGCAUACCGGCGCCCAACUGACGCUGAAGCACGAAAGCGUGGGUAUCGAACAGGAUUAGAUACCCCUGUAGUC
rnacentral:rRNA from 1 species